GGAUGGGUCUGCGGCCGAUUAGGUAGUUGGUUAGGUAAUGGCUUACCAAGCCGUUGAUCGGUACGGGUUGUGAGAGCAAGAGCCCGGAGAUGGAACCUGAGACAAGGUUCCAGGCCCUACGGGGUGCAGCAGGCGCGAAACCUCCGCAAUGUGAGAAAUCGCGACGGGGGGAUCCCAAGUGCUAUUCUUAACGGGAUGGCUUUUCAUUAGUGUAAAGAGCUUUUGGAAUAAGGGCUGGGCAAGACCGGUGCCAGCCGCCGCGGUAACACCGGCAGCUCUAGUGGUAGCAGUUUUUAUUGGGCCUAAAGCGUCCGUAGCCGGUUUAAUAAGUCUCUGGUGAAAUCCUGUAGCUUAACUGUGGGAAUUGCUGGAGAUACUAUUAGACUUGAGACCGGGAGAGGUUAGAGGUACUCCCAGGGUAGAGGUGAAAUUCUGUAAUCCUGGGAGGACCGCCUGUUGCGAAGGCGUCUAACUGGAACGGUUCUGACGGUGAGGGACGAAAGUUAGGGGCGCGAACCGGAUUAGAUACCCGGGUAGUCCUAACUGUAAACGAUGCGGACUUGGUGUUGGGGUGGCUUUGAGCUGCUCCAGUGCCGAAGGGAAGCUGUUAAGUCCGCCGCCUGGGAAGUACGGUCGCAAGACUGAAACUUAA
rnacentral:rRNA from 1 species